rnacentral:rRNA from 1 species
GACAGAGGGUGCAAACGUUGUUCGGAAUUACUGGGCGUAAAGCGUGUGUAGGCGGCUUUGCAAGUCGGAUGUGAAAGCCCCGGGCUCAACCCGGGAAGUGCACUCGAUACUGCAGAACUUGAGUGUGGGAGAGGUUGGUGGAAUUCUCGGUGUAGAGGUGAAAUUCGUAGAUAUCGAGAGGAACACCGGCGGCGAAGGCGGCUCACUGGCCCGAUACUGACGCUGAGGCACGAAAGCGUGGGGAGCAAACAGG